UUUAGGCAGGAAGGGCCUCACUGGGCACAGUUAAUUGGUAUUUGUUUUAAAUUUCACUUUGUCAGGCUAAGAAUCUUUUAGUAAUUGACCAUUCUAAUGGAGAUCUUUAAUUCAGCCCAGAAGUGAAGAGGUUAAAUUGAACAUUAACUAGUAAUAAAGCAAGUUGAUGUUAUUAGUUGGAAAUAUAUUACUUGCUUUUGUUCUCACUCAUAGUCUAGGCUGUGUUUUUAUUUGCAUAUAGAACAACAGUUGACUUUCCUUAAACAGUGCAAGUGUCAAAACCCACAAUUCCUUGAAAUCAUUUCACUCUGCAGCUUUUCCCAUAUUACAUAUGUACAUAUGUUUUGGAUUUAACCAGAGCAGGAACAAAAAAGCUUCUUAGUGACUAGAUACACGAUUUGUUACUUUUUAGGUUGUUACAGUAAUACUUAUGCUCCAUAAGAGACUUGUUAAUAUUUUUGUUGUGUCUUUGCUAGAUUAUUGUAGUAACAAUGUUGCAACUCUUGUUAUUUAUGACAAUUCUCUGAAAUCUUAGCAGACUUUUUAAAAAUAGUGUGUUAAAUUGGCCGCUAGUGGCAAAUUAAAUUUAUUCGUAGAUUUCAACUAUUAGGUUCCAAUUCAAUUCAAAUCUGUUCUUCUUCCCCU
rnacentral:lncRNA from 1 species